CUUCUCUCAACUCAUUCUUCUGUUCUCCAUUAGUCUUUUCCAAGUGUUCCUCAUGUCUUCGUUACUGCACAUCACAAUGUGUUGGACAACAAGCAUGAUGCAGCUACAGUUUGGGUGGAAGGAAUCACCACAAACGAUUUCAUUGUUUGUAUGAGAGAAGCAAGAACCUUUGAUGGACGCCAUAAGGACAUCGAUGUGACUUGGAUGGCAAUGACUGAAGUUCCCCAGACAUGGAAUUAUCAUGACUUUAUCAGRGUAGACUUUCCAAACACACUUGUACCAAGUGAAGCUGACAAUGAUGCCUUUUGCCAGAUUGUGAGUUUCCACGAGCCGUACUAUGCUNUC